rnacentral:rRNA from 1 species
GAUGAACGCUGGCGGCGUGCCUAAUACAUGCAAGUCGAGCGAACAGACGAGGAGCUUGCUCCUCUGACGUUAGCGGCGGACGGGUGAGUAACACGUGGAUAACCUACCUAUAAGACUGGGAUAACUUCGGGAAACCGGAGCUAAUACCGGAUAAUAUAUUGAACCGCAUGGUUCAAUAGUGAAAGACGGUUUUGCUGUCACUUAUAGAUGGAUCCGCGCCGCAUUAGCUAGUUGGUAAGGUAACGGCUCACCAAGGCAACGAUGCGUAGCCGACCUGAGAGGGUGAUCGGCCACACUGGAACUGAGACACGGUCCAGACUCCUACGGGAGGCAGCAGUAGGGAAUCUUCCGCAAUGGGCGAAAGCCUGACGGAGCAACGCCGCGUGAGUGAUGAAGGUCUUCGGAUCGUAAAACUCUGUUAUUAGGGAAGAACAAAUGUGUAAGUAACUAUGCACGUCUUGACGGUGCCUAAUCAGAAAGCCACGGCUAACUACGUG